UUCAUAUCACAUUGAAACACUGAUUCCCAUACAAUCACUGAAGUUAAGCAAUGUCGAGCCUUGUCAGUACCUAGAUGGGUGACCACUUGGGAAUACAAGGUAUUGUAA